CAUGUUGUAUAUGAAGAUUAAUAAGAUUAAAGUAAACAAUGAGGUAUGUUACCAAAAUGAAAGCUAUCCACCAAUGACCAACUUAUGUCAAUGCAAUUACAAGCCAUACAAAUGAUACAUGCAUGUAGGUCACCAUACUUCCUUCAUUUAUAUUAUGAUUAUUGAGUAAAUUUUUGGAAACAUUUCAAACCUAUACAUGUACAUGCUGUUUAUAUAAAUGUUACUACAGUUCAGCGACUCGAAGUUUUAAAUGCAUUGAUAUAACAGAAUUUAAACUGAAUAUCAUAUUUGUAUGAACAUCAUGAUGAAUAUUUACAUUCUCUCAAAGAGUUUUUAUUUUACUUAGCUAAUACAGAAGAUGAUGGAUUCCCAAACAGAAAUCUUGAUGACUGAUCAAGGUGAAAAAAAUGAAGAAUUGCAUCAAUUGUUACAGAGAAUCGAUUUGCAAGCAGAAACAGGUGCUCAAUGAUAAGGGAAUACAACAGCCAUCCAUGCUCCUUCACAUGUAAAGGUAUAUAUUGUAUAUAUAUAUUAUCUACAUUUUCUGAAUUUAUGAUUUUUAAAAAUCUUUCAGAAGAUAUAAAUGUACAUUGUAAGUCAUGUAAUUCAAAUAGAGACGUGCCAUUGUCUUUUAUAAAAGAUAGAGUUACAUGUAUGCCUUUUUAUUGUUAUCAGCUUAUAUACUUGCUUAGCCUUGUUAAAAUCUAUAAAUAUACCUUAUAUGUACAUGUAUGUUGAAAUGUCUGUCAGAAUAUAUACAUAUACAUGUAAUCAUAAUGUUUCAAAUAGCCAAACAUUGUAAUUAAUUUAUGGGGCCCUUUAUAGCUUUUGUUCGGUGUGAGCCAAGGCUCCGUGUUGAAGGCCGUACAUUGACCUAUAUUUGUUUACUUUUAUAAAUUGUUAUUUGGAUGGAGAGUUGUCUCAUUGGCACUCACACCACAUCUUCUUAUAUCUAUAAUAUAUAAUAUAUAUGUUACAGUAAAUAGGUGAAAUUAGGAAUUACACGUAAUUACUAAACAUUUCAGUAAAUACCUGUAAUCACUAGUCAAUUUAGUAAUUACAUGUAUUUACUAGUUGUUUCAGUGAUUACAGGUAUUUACUGAUUUUUUUUGUCAUUUUUACAGCUAUUUACUAACCUGAUAUUUUUGUUUGAAAAUUAAAGACAUAAUUCAAGAUAUCAAAUUAGAAAGUGAAGGGUAGGGAUUUUAGGGCUUACUUAAGGAUCAAGGACUAUAAGGCACAUUAAAAGUGCAUACUCUUCAGUGUUUGUGAAUUGAAACUGGAAAAGGUUGUUUUAUAAGUUUUGAAACUCCCUAAAAAUCAUUUUGAGCAUGCUAGACAAUGAUAUCAAUCCAAAAUUGAGAAAAACAUUUUUGAGAACUUUAUAGGCAAUUUAGCUAGCUAUUUUUUAAGAUAGACAUUAGAUUAUGGCAAACUUGGUUAAAUGAUCUUAAUAAUUCUUAAAAUCUCAUAAUUUUGUUAUAUUAAAAUCUCCAUCAGGCAUACUCUGCAUACCAACUUGGCCAAUAACAUGAGUUAAAUUCCUUUUACAAAAUAGGUUUAACUACGACUUCUUUUGUCAGACAUUUGCGAUGAAGCUGACAUUCUUCACAAACAAAUUUAUACAAAUUGAUGGCGGUCACAUUUUCAUAUUUCCGUGUUUUUAUGAGUUCUUCAAGACCUCCAAACUUAGCUUAUAUACCUCCAACAAAAUUUUAUCAUCGUUUCUUCCUGUAUAAAAUGAUCUUUUUGUGGAUUGACAAAGUCAACUAAAUGGUCCAUCCCUUUUGUUUUACUUUCAAUGUUGACAUUCUUUUCCUUUUCGUCGAGCCUGCGUUUUUUUGUCGCAAAAGCGAGGCAUAGCGAACCAACCUAAUAAUUCCGUCGCCAUUGGCGUCCACAAAUAUUCGCUCUGUGGUUAUAUUUUUUUAAUUUUGAUAAGUUUCUCAAAUUAUCCUGGAUUUCUACUUAACUUGAACAGAAGCUUCAGUUGUUUAUGAUCAAAAGAUAAAUUUCAAGAAGUAAAUUUUGUAAAAAAAAAAUCAAGUUUUUCCAUACUUUCCUUAUAAAGGGACUUAGUUUUUAUGCCAGUUAACAUUACAUUCACACUGUGGUUAAAUUUUUAAAUUUUAAUAACUUUCUCAAAAUAUCCUGGAUUUCUACCAAAAUUGGACAGAAGCUUGUGUAUGAUCAUAAGAUAAUGUCUAGAAAUAAAGUUUGUAAAAAAAAACUAUCCGUAUAUUACUUAUUUAAACGGACUAUUUUUUUUCCAGUUAACAUAACAUACACUCUGCGGUUAAAGUUUAGAUUUCAUAAACCAUCCUGAAUUUUGAACAAAUUUUGAUAGAAGAUUCUUACAGAACUAGUCAAAAGAUAGUAUCUAGAGGAAAAUUAUAAAUAUUUUUUUUCCUAUUUUUGCUGGGCCUGCGACUCACAGCAAAAAUAGGCGAGACACUGGGUUCUGCAAAACCCUUAAAAUUUUGAUAGCUGAAUACUCACUAAUUUUCUAAUUAGUAUUACCAUAACUUUUGAUCAGUUGACCAUAUUACAACAUUGUUUUAACAGUUAGUAAAUAGGUGUAAAAAUUCAUUUUAGAAUCAGUAAUUACUGGUAAUUACUGGGCAGUUUUAGGAAUUACUUGUAUUUACAAAGUACAUUGGGAAUUACAUGUUAUUCCUAAAUUUUAGUAAUUACAUGUAAUUCCUAAUUUCACCUAUUUACUGUAACAUAUAUAUUAAGUAUUGGGAAUCCUGUACCCCCUUUCCUUUGCUUGGACCGAGUUUAACAAAUAUAAUAUGCAAUGUUCAUGAUGUAUACUAGACUUGCUUGAAAAUGUUUAAAUUCAACAAAUUAUCUCCUGGCAAUGCAUGUUUAGGAAUUUCUUAUGUUUUAUUUUGCAGUAAGCAGCUGUUCUCUGAUGCUUAUAGGCAUAAACAAUCUAGUCUGGACAUGUAAAACAGCAAGCUGGUUCUAUUUUGAAGUAAGCUAUUUAGUGAUUACAUCUCAUUUGACAUGACUAGACCGAGUCUUGGGAUAAAUUAAUAGUACUCAUUGUCAUGAUUGUACUAGCUUUUUAUUGUUUUAUAUAUUUUAUGGAAAAUACUGUUAGUUGAGGCCUGCAAAAAUAAAUUUAUUUAUAAGGAGAUGAAGUGUUGUUGCCAAUGAGAGUAAAGACAUUUAACAAAUAGCAUGAAUAGAGUCAUGGAGGAUUGAAUUCAUACUCAUUUUAUAUAGAGUGUCACAAAAUAAUUGCAGGAAAAAAAAACAACAACAAAAAAUCAAAAUAAUUGUGUAUUUAGUAGAAUAAGCCAAAUCAAACAAUGACUGACUAAAAUCUUGUUUGAAAUUUUUCACAUUUCUAUUGAUUAAAUAUUAUUUUAUAGAUCAAAUAAUAAAUAGACAUAAGGUUAAGUUAAAAGGGCAGUAUUAUCCAGUUUCAGAUUUUUGUUGUUGGUUAUAUUGUAUGCAUACAGCUGAUUGUACUAUUUUCAAAUACUUCUCAUAUGUCAAGAGAAAACAAAAUUGCUGUACCUAAUAUUGUAAUUUUAGACCUCCAUUGUGGCACAUAGACACAUCCAACACUCACCAAAAUAUAAGCCUGAACCCCUGAGGGGAUCACACACAUCAAAUGAUAAAAGAUGUAUAUAGUCUACACAAUAAGACCGAACAAUGAUAGUAGGAGUUAUUUUUAAAAUAUAAUUGAAAAACUUAACUGAUACAAAUCAAUAAUUUUUUUAAUGUUGAUGAACAAAUCACAAUGUGUAAUAGUAGUAAUAAAUUUUAAUGCCAGCCUACAAUAGUAGAGGGGUUUUAUGUUUAAUGAUCCCUACAUUUUUUUUUGUUCUCUCUUUCAUCUGUUCUGCUUCAGGUUCAAGUUUUGGUAAAAGUUUUUGGUCAGGAUAGUUGUUAAUGAAGUUAAUGACCAAUCAACUUAAAAAUAGAUACACAUGUGCCUUAUGUUAUGAUCUUUCUAAUGAUAAAUUAAUGGUUUUGCCCCAAUUUCAUGGUCCAUUGAAAAUAGAAAAUUUAUCAUGACAAUUCUAGCUAUUCUUUUAUAUAGAGUUAUUCCACAAGAUAUUUUUGGGUCACUCAUUAGAAUAUUUUUUAAAUAUUAUGAUUUUGAUUACAACUGCAUUAAGAUAGAAUAAUUGCAUGCAGAAAAUUAUUGCUUUUGUCACAUAUAUAUCACUAGUCAAUUUAAUAAAAUUAAACAUUUUUUAAUUACUUUAUUACAGAAGCUACAAAAUAGAG
rnacentral:lncRNA from 1 species